UCGAUUUAUGGAAUGUUAGAUGAUUUUAUUAUCGAUUUACGGAUUUAAUUGUGUAUAUUUAUAUUUAUUUAUUAAUUAUUGGACUUCCGUAAAACCGUCCACUCGUAACGAGGUGGCAAAUUUUCUUCCCGGAAGUUUCAACAAAGCUCACCUUUAGCCUAAUUUGAAUAUUCCGGACAUUUUUCGUGUUUUGACUUUUUCGAUCCGGAGUACGGUUUGUUCCGGAGCCGGUCCGGCGGAGUUUUUCGGUAUUCGAUAAUUAUCCGUUCGUCUCGAUAAGCGUGAAACGAGAUAUUUUCUUCAUCCUUAUCUUGUCAUAAUUGCCAUGGGACCCGCAGACCAAUAAUUGAGUUAAAAAGCCCCGUUUUGAUGAUUAUCUCGAAAACCAGUACCGAUUGGACCCCGCUUUAUUAAUAUAAAGCUAUUAAAUACGUAUUUUCAUGCCAUAAACGAUCCAAAGGGGUACCAAUUAUUUGUAAAUAUAAAUAUACCUUUCUAGAGCUUAUUUUCACCCGUAAAAUCAUUUCACCAGUUUCUCCGCACGAUAAUCGAGAGAAACCGAGCGGUGUUCUUCGUGUUCUUCAUAAUCGAACGAAGAUUUGAAGGUGUUAUUGGAGUCAGAAUCAAGCGUGCAAAUAGUCAAAUCGAAGAUAUCGAGGAGUAGAAUCCAUAUCAAUGAUCAAAAACAACAUGAGAUUCACAGGAUUUGGACGAGGCGUGUACGUUCGAAGACGUUCAGAAAGUCAAAUGGUGUUGCAAAGCGAAUAAGGGAUGAACCGAGGAAGCGAAGAUGUACGGUAGAUAGAGUAUAGCCAGAGAUGGUCUAGAGACUAUGAUAUGCAUAGAGUGUGAAAGUGGAAAGAUGAGAUUGAGAUGUGAGACUGGAGUCAGAUUUAAGGCAAGUAUCCUACACCUUGCUUUUGGAUAUAUUGCAUAUUCUGAUCCAUUCUUUUCUAUAUGUGUUGCAAGUAUCCUAAACCUUUCUCUUGGAUAUAUUGCAAUUAUUCUGAUCCAUUCCUUUGGUAUAUGUUUCAAGUAUUCAUACCUUUCUUUUCAAUGUUCGAAAGUGCGAGUAUUCUGACCCAUUCUUUCUAAUCUUCAAGUUUCUAAAGAAUUUUCGCUUUACAAAUUAAUUCGAAGUUCAGAUUGUCAUUGAAGCAUGUGUUGCUCAGUGAUAGUUAGAGCUUUGAAUGAAUUGGGAUCUUCUUGAUUAUUCAACCCGCCAUUGUCAUGCUGGUUUAGCAGGCUAAAUUCAGUUGCUUAGCCGAUAAUGGAGGAUACUGAAUAGUUGAGGAUUUCCUGAACUGUGAUUUAUGAAAUGAUGGAUCAUGAUUUAUGAAUAGAUUGUUAUCAAAGUUUGAAUUGGAAUUAUUCUGUUGUUGAUGAUAUUUAUGAUGAUGUUCUGUUAAUUUACAUUGGUUUCUUGAAUUGAAUUAGAGAAUUGGAUUAUUGUUUUUAUAUAAACCUGUGGACCAGAUUCGUGGUCAUGUUAGGCCAAUGAGUGCCUUGGAUCCAGUGAUAGAGCAUGGCGGGGCCUGCUCGGGGUUAGUGCGGAACUGAUCAGCUGCCUAACCUUGGUUUUAAUUAAAAUGUGAUAGUCCAAUUCAAUAAUUCUUUGGAAAGAUUGAAUUUCUCAGUUUAAAUGCUGCAAGGUAUUGUAAAUCAUUCUAUACAAUACCAUGAACUCAUGAACUCAGGUUGAAUCCUUUUAUAUCUUGAACUCAUGAACUUCUGUUAUAUCAUUUCAGAAUUUUCAUUGUUUAUUAUUACUUGCUGAGCAUUGUUGCUCACCCUUGCUAUUCCUUUCUAACCAUUUCAGAAAGGCUUAAAAAUGAGAUGAUUGAUUGAGAUUGUGAAUAAGGCUAAUGCUAGACGAGGAGACAGAGUUGAGGAUCCAGUGGCCGAGGAAUGUUCAGGAAAGUUGAUGAGGGUGGUGCAAGCUAGAGCUGUGCUAUAGGGAUUCAAGUGUAAGUCAUAGCUGGAAUAGUUGACAGUGAUUCUUCUUAUCGAAGAUGAUCUGACUCGGUAAGAAAUGUUGUGUAAUAUUAGUGGUGGAUUCUAAUUUCAAUACUGUAACCUGGAUGCGAUCCUGUUGUUUUUAGGGGGUUGAAAUGUCUCUUUCGAAUCAUUUAUUAAAGUGUAAAUAUUCUCUUGAAAUUCUCCUAUUAUGGCUGUCAAGUUACAAA